GAUGAAGAACGUAGCGAAAUGCGAUAAGUAGUGUGAAUUGCAGAAUUCAGUGAAUCAUCGAAUCUUUGAACGCACAUUGCGCCCUUGGUAUUCCAUGGGGCAUGCCUGUUCGAGCGUCAUUUACAACCUCAAGCCCAGCUUGGUGUUGGGCGUCUGUCCCGCUUCGUGCGCGGACUCGCCCCAAAGGCAUUGGCAGCGGUCCUUGCCAGCUUCUCGCGCAGCACAUUGCGCUUCUCGAGGCCGGCGGAUCGGCGUCCAUCAAGCCCACUUCCACAGUUUGACCUCGGAUCAGGUAGGGAUACCCGCUGAACUUAAGCAUAUCAAUAAGCGGAGGA
rnacentral:misc_RNA from 1 species